rnacentral:rRNA from 1 species
ACGGAAGGCAGCAGUGAGGAAUAUUGGUCAAUGGACGGAAGUCUGAACCAGCCAAGUCGCGUGAAGGAUGAAGGUAUUAUGUAUUGUAAACUUCUUUAGCAGUGGAGUAAUAAGGGGAUCGUGAUCCCUGAUGCAAGUACACUGAGAAUAAGGAUCGGCUAACUCCGUGCCAGCAGCCGCGGUAAUACGGAGGAUCCGAGCGUUAUCCGGAUUUACUGGGUUUAAAGGGUGCGCAGGCGGCUUUUUAAGUCAGUGGUUAAAUCGUGACGCUCAACGUCAUCACGCCAUUGAUACUGGAGAGCUUGAUUGCGGUCGAGGUUUGCGGAAUUCGUUGUGUAGCGGUGAAAUGCAUAGAUAUGACGAAGAACACCGAUUGCGUAGGCAGCAGACCAGGCCGUAAAUGACGCUCAUGCACGAAAGUGCGGGGAUCGAACAGGAUUAGAUACCCUGGUA